AGUUGAAAGGGCGGCUCUUCUGACAGUUCUGUGCAGGACAUGGAGUGAAAUUUGUUUCUGAAGGUGAGUUUGAGAGUGAAAAAAAGCUGUUGUGGUUCUUGAGGAACACUGGAAUUUGCAAGGGACCACUUCUUGGUGGGAGCCGGAACGUGGUGGAUGCCAGGUGGGGGAGGUGUGGCUCCUGACGGAAGGUGCAGCCCCGGGUUUGGGCCGUUCUCCGGAUAGCGAGAGCUGAACGUGCAGGUCCAGGGCGGGAAAAGAGCAGGUGGUAAGAGAGUCAAGAGACUAUUAAAGAGACGGUUAACAUUCCUUCCUAUAAAGUUAACUAAAUAAACCAUGCAAAACCAGUCAAUGCAACGAUUUCCACUCCAAAGUAAACUUUGAGGUAAACCUAAGAUUUUCUUGGUCUAUUUUUUCAUGAAAAGAAAACUUAUUGGAAUUUUGAUGGGAUAUCAUUAUAUUUAUAAGUGAAUUUUGGAAAAAUGAUUAUCUUUGUAAAGGACCAGGUAGGUGGUGUGGUGGUGAAGGCAGCUAGCUCCAUCCCACAUAGCUGACUGUGAAGUUCAAACCUGGACGUGGCAUUUUGAAAACCAUGCCAGACUUGUGUAUGCAUGCUCAAAACCCCAGGAGGAGAAUAAAGAAGGAAUUGAGGUAUUGUCAUUUCCCCUAGGAGAUACUUCCCCUCCCUCUCUCUCUCUCUUUCUGUGUCUCUCCAGCAAGUGCACAUGCCCUAUAGCAAAAUUUAAACAUAGCGAAAACAUACAUAUAUGUGAUAUAUCACAUGUUAAUCUUGUGUAACUUAUAUUGUGUUUUAUACUAUUUGUUUUAAUUGGACUUAUAAGACAUAGAAUACGGCUAACCUCUAGAAACAACUUCCCCUAUACCUUCCCAUUCAUCUUUUCCAUAAUGACCUCCUGCUUCCUCCACCUUGGUUUCAAAUGUUUGGACUAAUGAGCUCUUAUCAUAGUACAUAAUGUGUGUGAGUUUAUCCCUUUGUUGUGUACAAGGAGAUUGUAGUAUUACUGUAUAUUAUGUAAUGUAUAUAACAUAUAUAUAUAAAAUGCUAUCAUCCAUCAUGUAUUUUCAGUUUCCCAAAAUGUGUACAACUUACACUCCAACUUUAGUUCUGAGAAUUCA